rnacentral:rRNA from 1 species
GACGAACGCUGGCGGCGUGCCUACUACAUGCAAGUAGAACGAGUUGCGAACGGGUGAGUAACGCGUGGUAACCUGCCUCAUAGCGGGGGAUAACUACUGGACACGGUAGCUAAUACCGCAUACCAUCAGAUGUGCCCAGAUGGGAUUAGCUAGUUGGUGGGGUAACGGCGCAUCAAGGCGACGAUCCCUAGCUGGUCGGAGAGGCGGACCAGCCACACUUGCACUGAGAGACGGGCCAGACUCCUACGGGAGGAAGCAGUGGGGAAUAUUGCACAAGGGGCGCAAGCCUGAUGCAGCCAUGCCGCGUGUAUGAAGAAGGCCUUCGGGUUGUAAAGUACUUUCAGCGGGGAGGCGUUACCCGCAGAAGAAGCACCGGCUAACUCCGUGCCAGCAGCCGCGGUAAUUC